GGCAACCAGCUUGCGUCCGUUUCCAUGUUGUGGGAGAUUUGUUCUUUCGCUCUUUGUGGUAAAUCUUGCUACUGCUCACUCUUUGAGUCCACACUGCUUUUAUGAGCUGUAACACUCACCGGGAAGGUCUGCAGCUUCAAUCCUGAAGCCAGCGAGGCCACCAGCCCACCGGGAGGAACGAACAACUCCAGACGCACCGCCUUAAGAGCUGUAACACUCACCGCGAAGGUCUGCAGCUUCACUCCUGAGCCAGCGAGACCACGAACCCACCAGAAGAAAGAAACUCCGAACACAUCCGAACACCAGAAGGAACAAACUCCAGACGCGCCAACUGUAACACUCACCGCGAGGAUCCGUGGCUUCAUUCUUGAAGUCAGUGAGACCAAGAACCCACCAAUUCCGGACACACUGAUGCUCAAUAAAGGAAUGUAGAAGAAUGUUGGGAGAGAAGCAUUCUCACCUAUUUCUGAUCUUAACAGGUACAGACAGUGCAAAGGUGGUGUGCCUAGUGAGCUUGGAUGUAUCAAACAGCUGUAAGAAAAUCUCUCCAACCUUCUCUGAAUAAAGGAGGAAUGUGGUGUUUAUUGAGGAACAGGCAACCCUUACAUUUGAAUAAAAGAUGCCAUAUAGUGAGUCCAUUA
ensembl:lncRNA novel transcript, antisense to NAB1